rnacentral:rRNA from 1 species
UACGUAGGGGGCAAGCGUUGUCCGGAUUUAUUGGGCGUAAAGAGCGUGUAGGCGGCUGGGUAGGUCCGUUGUGAAAACUCGAGGCUCAACCUCGAGACGCCGAUGGAAACCCUCCAGCUAGAGUCCGGAAGAGGAGAGUGGAAUUCCUGGUGUAGCGGUGAAAUGCGCAGAUAUCAGGAGGAACACCGGUGGCGAAGGCGGGUCUCUGGGCAGUAACUGACGCUGAGGAGCGAAAGCGUGGGGAGCGAACAGG